GAUGAACGCUGGCGGCGUGCCUAAUACAUGCAAGUCGAGCGAACAGAUGAGGAGCUUGCUCCUCUGACGUUAGCGGCGGACGGGUGAGUAACACGUGGAUAACCUACCUAUAAGACUGGGAUCACUUCGGGAAACCGGAGCUAAUACCGGAUAAUAUAUUGAACCGCAUGGUUCAAUAGUGAAAGACGGUUUUGCUGUCACUUAUAGAUGGAUCCGCGCCGCAUUAGCUAGUUGGUAAGGUAACGGCUUACCAAGCAAACGAUGCGUAGCCGCCCUGAGAGGGUGAUCGGCCACACUGGAACUGAGACACGGUCCAGACUCCUACGGGAGGCAGCAGUAGGGAAUCUUCCGCAAUGGGCGAAAGCCUGACGGAGCAACGCCGCGUGAGUGAUGAAGGUCUUCGGAUCGUAAAACUCUGUUAUUAGGGAAGAACAAAUGUGUAAGUAACUAUGCACGUCUUGACGGUACCUAAUCAGAAAGCCACGGCUAACUACGUG
rnacentral:rRNA from 1 species